rnacentral:misc_RNA from 1 species
GGAUUUGAUAUGGAUGAUGAAGAAAAACCUCCGAAUCGAAAUGCUCAAGACUUUUUUAACAUGUAGAGAGCAGUAGAAGAGCCAUUGUUCUUUGGAUGUAUGAUUCAUACUCCACUGUCAGUGGUGUGCAGGCUACUAAACAUUAAGUCAGAGUUUAACAUGAGCGAGAACUGUUACAAUCGAAUUUUGCUUCUUCUGAAAGAGC